rnacentral:rRNA from 1 species
CGGAAUCACUGGGCGUAAAGGGCGCGUAGGCGGCCAUUUAAGUCGGGGGUGAAAGCCUGUGGCUCAACCACAGAAUUGCCUUCGAUACUGGGUGGCUUGAGUCCGGAAGAGGUUGGUGGAACUGCGAGUGUAGAGGUGAAAUUCGUAGAUAUUCGCAAGAACACCGGUGGCGAAGGCGGCCAACUGGUCCGGAACUGACGCUGAGGCGCGAAAGCGUGGGGAGCAAACAGGAUUAGAUACCCUGGUAGUCAAGGGCGAAUUCGC